UGUGUGUGUGUGUGUGUGUCUUGUCUGUCUGUCCAUACUGGGGCUUGAACUCCAGACCUGGUCUCUGUCCCUUAGCCUUUUCUGCUUAAAGUUGGCACUCUAAUACUUAAGGCACAGCUCUAUCUCUGGCUUGUUAGUGGUUAGAUCUCAUGGAGUUU